AGCUAGGCGAGAGAAGCGGCGUGCGCCGUUUGGUUCUGGCGCAGCCGGCGAGUUUGCUUCGAGGCUGGGCCGCUCGUGGUCAGGUGCGGCUUUCGCGCGAGGUGGUUGCUCCUCGGUCAGCCGCUGUUUACCGGCGGCUGGGCCGAGGCGCCCGUCCCGGCCACGCAGAAGCCACAGACUCCGAUGAUUCGGCCCGCCUUCCUGACCAGAGCGUCCCUCCGCUGGUUAUGUGCGAGCCUCGGCCCCGCUGAGCCGCACAGGGCCACGCAGAGAUAGGGCAACUACUCACGAGCCGUGGUCCUGUAUACUCUUCACGCUUAACUUUUCCCGGCAUCUACUGCGAGGCGGUCUCUGGUGGACUCCUAGUUUUUUCUUUUCUCUUCUUCCUGAGCUCUACCCUCACAGCCCAGCACCACCCCUCUGGUUGAAACCUGGUCUCACUGCUCGGCCAGGCUGGGCUCCAACUUGCCGAUGGGCGAGUUUCAGACCUAGUGACUGUCCCUUUUUCUGGAAGUGCUUUUGCUCCGAGUGUUAACGUGCCCCACUCAGUUCUUUCCUGGCCACAGGGUGUCUCUGACCAACUGGACACAAGUCCUGGGGAGGACACAAUUCCCAAGGAAUAACCCAUGCCUCUUCCGAGAGUCCUCUUUUUUUCUGUCUUUUUCUACCUGAAGUGAGCCAGGCCUGGAGCUGUGCCAGGGAGUUUACACCCAGCAGCUGGAGCAGAGUGGCGGCCCUGCAGGGCCUCUGAAUUAACGGCUGGCAGUGCCCCCCAAAACGUCCCACGCAGGGCUCUGGGUCCUGGUUUGCAAGCAGCUUAUGUAAUUUAGUUAUCCAAGUCAGUUAUACUGUAAUACAGAAUCCUCAUUCCAUCUGUUUUUACACUGCAAGCCAGAGGAUGGACUGGGGGACACCUGAUUUCUGCCUGCUCGGGCACCACAUACGUGGGAUUCAGGCAGGACACAGGACUUUCUAUUAAACCUUUCCUGUUCUCUCACAGCAGUUUCCUUUUUUGUUGCUUUAGACAAGGUCUCACUAUGUAGCCCACGCUGGUCUCAAACCCACAGCGAUCCGCUUACCUCAGCCUCCUGAGUGCUGGGAUUACAGGAGUGUGCUGCCAUGUCCAGCUAGCAGGGGUUUUUUUUUUUAAUCAAGGAACGAACUCAGGAUCCUGCGCUUGGGAGGCAAGUGCAGCACCACUGAGUGUAUUUAAAUGUUGACCAUAUUGCUGGAUCACACCGCGAACACUCUACCUUGUGGACUUGGUAGCGGGAAGGCUGCAGUGACUGUCAGUCAGCAAGCUCUGCCACUGUCUCCUGCGUCAGGGAUGCCGCUCUGCCUCACCCCAGACCACCCAGGGAGCAGAGCAGCCAGAGCUGUGGAACACAGCGCGUGCAAUUUCAAAGCACAUUUAUACGUCACCUGCAUGUUUCCAAAGCACAGUACCAACGUUUAUUAAUCCUCACAACACCCCUGUGAGGUAGGUCAAGGUCUUUUAGGGGAGAAAACUGAGGCAAAAGUCAAGCAAACCUGCCCAGACCUGCUGGAGGCGCAGGGCAGCGGGAAGGGCGGGACCUGAGCAGACGCGGGGCUCGGUCAGGCGCGCACACAGGCAGACAGCUCAGCAAAUCUUCAGAUCGGGCGACAGGAAGGA